AGAACACACUGCAGACUCAUAG
rnacentral:miRNA from 1 species